AACAUACUUGGCCCAAACCCAAGUCACAUGGCAACCAUGUGACAAUUUUAAUUAAGGGGCUAUAAGAUACAUUGAAAGUUCAAGAAAAAUUUAGAAGGCAAGAAAAACAAAACAAGAGAGGAGAAAGAGAAGAGGGUUUCGGCUUUGGAGUGAAAAAAUAAGCCUAAAAAAUCUUGCUUCAAAAAUUCAUAUUUUGUGGUUUUCCUACUAAUUUGGGUAGCCUCUUCAACUUGGUGUAGUUGUCUUGGAGGAAGAAGCACUUGGUUCCUCAAUUUGAUCACUAGUUCAAGUAAAGAAGACUAGGGAAAAAGAUUUUUGACGAAACGGGAAGUGAGUUUAGAAAGGCGUAAGGAGCUUGAAAGGUACCGACGACAGGUUUGCUGAUCCGUCUGCUUAGGAUCUCAUUCUACUAUUUUUGGAGCGCUCUUUUAUUCAGAGCCAUCUUUUGGUAUAGUCUGUCACUUCUACAUAUAUAUAUUUCUCGUUCAUGGGUACGGCGGGGCCCUGUCCCGUCAUAUGAUUCUGUCGGUCUGUUAGAGGUCUGUGGACAUGUUUGUGGGUUGGGAUCUUUCUGUACAGAUAUGUGUGUGUGUUGUGUUUGGGCGAUCCCCUUCGCCGCGGCGGCCGGUCCGCAUAUAUGUAGAUGUUGCUUUGUUGGCCCUGUGAGGCCUUUGUUGGUAUUUUCUGCGUGCGGGGUAUUUGGGUUAGUCCGUAAAACAAAGGAAACUCUGCCGAAAUUUUUCUGGAAAUUAUCUAAAUUUAGAAUAAAGCCUUGUCGGCUUCUGCCAUAUAUUAGAAUGCGUUUGAGUGCCCAGAUCGGGCACUAGUCACGGCCUACGGGGUUGGGUCGUGACAGUUGUCCGGAGCCUACGUCUUGGUACAGUCUUUUGCCAUUGUACAUAUGUAUGUGGUUCAGGGGUAUGACGGGGCCCUGUCCCGUCUUGUGAUUCUGUUGCUAUCUGUAGAGGUCUGUAGACAUAUAUGUGGGUCAUGGGUCGUGUUUGUUCGAUUAUGUGUGUGACUUGUGCCUUAAGCGGUCCCGUUUGUUAUUAUGGCCAAAACGGCCCAUAUGUUUGUUUAUGUGUGUAUAUUUGGGGCGAUGUGUAUUCCGCCAGCCUACAGGAUUGAUAUGAUGUUUUUGUAUGGGUGACCGCUUAAGAUGAUGUAUGUUCUCAGUAUUUGUGCAAAAGAACGUAUGCUAAA